GUCUGUUUUUAUAUUCCAGAGGCGCAUGGGAGUAAGCUCGAGCUGCAGACGAGCUCAGACUCCAUAGGAGGAGCAUGUUCCGCUGCGCCUCUCCCACCUCCUCGGCGCACAGGGGGAUGGCCAGCGCCGCGCAGCAGCAGGGUGUUGAUCACAAGAUAGUAAAUGAUUUCUCUAUUAGUAGAGGUCUGAAGGUUCGAGAAGGGACGAAAGAUGAAGAAUUUGCCUGAAGAAAAUAUUGAACAAAAAGCUCCAGAUGGCUUCCUAGGGGUGAUGUGCUUCAGUUUGAGAUUGGGAUGUUGGCUUUCUCUAACCCGCCUUCCUUGAGUCUGAAGUUGGGUUCACAAGCAAGCAGGCCGCAGAGGACAUGGCACUGGCCAUGUUCAACCGUGCCCUGAAGCUUUCUGGAGCAGGUAUGUGCCUCUGUGUGUGUCUUCUCUAACUUCAUCUCGCUGGAUGUAUGGAUCAUUCUGCACGUUGGGCUUGUUGCUGGCUGCUAGCCUGGCUUGUAAGAGGAUGCUCCCCUGCUCUUGAGUCCAAGAUACUGAGGGAAAGUACAUAUCCAGAGGCACCAAUUGGGAGAGGUACAACAUAUGCAUUUCAAAUGCAUUUCAAAGAGAACUGGAAGAGCUAGCACCAAAGAGCCCCAACUCACCUCCACGAUCAAGUUCUACAUGCAAUUCACGGAUAGUGGUUGUCGGCACAUCUUUUAACCAAGUCACCUCCAUUGAUCCUUUUGUUGACAAGCAGCUAGACCCAAGACCCAAGGUACCAAACAAAAUAAGGAAGGCAUCAAAACUCCUAGGAAUCUUGCUAGAUAUGAGCAUCUCUUUUGCAUGACGAAGGAAAUGAGCGGCUGGCUAGAUCUAAACAUAUAUUAAAUCCUCAUUGGAUUACAAAUUGUGGAGGGACCGGUCAACAUUUUUAGUCUUUUACUGCAUGGCUGCGAAGUAUACACAGAUUUAGGAAAACUACCUGCGCGUUUCCCAUGGUAGAUCGGUUUGGCCCUGCUGUGCUACCUAACUGAUUUUGAAUCAGCCGCCGUCGCAGGACCUUCCACAGCUAGACCUUGACGGCGCCAGCCGUAUGGACAUCCAGCUCAACGAUCUUUCAAAAUGGUUAUUCAUGUCUGGUUGCGUCUGGCGGGCAACGCGCGGCAAGUCGUGCCACCUAUAAUUGAAGCAUCGUUCAUGGUUAGGCUAGAACUACAUAAUAUUGUUGCUCGAACUGCAGCCAGCAGGUGCUUUUCUUCUCCUCCUCAAGCUUCGGCAAGAAUAUACUACACAUAUAUAGUAGCUGAGAAAGCAUGACAUGCCAUAAUUUGUUGUCCUUUUGUAUCUUCAUACACUGUAUCUUCCUUUUUCAUGACCCAAAAAUAGCUGGGAAAGAAUGACAUCCAUAAUUUGUUUUCCAUCCUAGGCUCAUUUGCCGGCCUAUUAUUAUUCUUUUUUGUCCUUAAUAAACUGUAUCCUUUCUUUAGUAUUCUCCUUUGCUUAUUCAGGUAACUGCUGAGGAUGUUUAAAAAAGACAUCACCAAUAGCAGAGCACUGCUGCAAUUACAUGCAGGUACAAAAUUGAUGCCCACUUUGGGAUCUCCCUUGUGGCCUUUCCUAUAAUCAUAAGAGCUACCAAGAGACACAAUUGCUUUUAGUUAUCCCCUUCAGAAUACUAAUUAUUGAUGUAAUGUAGAAGGUAAAAGGGAAUUAAAUGAUCUCUUUGAAAUACUUCAGAAUACAUGCUUCAGAACACUAAUUAUAGCUAUAAUGUCUCUCUUUGCUUUGCUAGAAUAUCUCUUCAAAUUUAAGAGGAGCUUGGUACUAUUUUUUCUGAUGGACUUUCUUUAUGAGGAUCAAAAGAUUUGUCUCUGAUGGCUUUUCUUACAAGUUCCCAGCCAUUCUGUCACCCUCCUCUCCUAUCAUUAAAAAUAGGACAGAGUUUCGCGAUCAGCGAUCUGAGGCGCCACUGACAAUAUUAUCAGCUGCCAUUCAGCGGCCAAUGAUGCACAAUGGCACAAGUGACAUCAUCUUCGAUUUUUUCUUCUGUUCAUUGCCAUAAAAAAUUAGCAGGCUGCAUUUGAGCUUCUAAUAUUCAUUUGAUGUUUCAACUAAUGGGUUUUAUACAAUGUAUUGUUGGAGAUUGGAUUGCAAAAACAUGAGAAAAUAACUUCUGAAUGGAUGACAACAAUGUCGACCUUUUUGGAGAGAAAACUGAACCGGAGAAGACGGCAGCUGAAGAGCAUGCUGCGAAAGUGAAGGGUUCUGGCAAGAAGAAAGAAUGUAUGUUAUCUUACAUUCUUUCUAUUUUGAAAAUUGCCUUGAGUGUGAAAAAUACUGAGCAUGGACCUAUGUUCUUAUUAAUAGCUCUUGCUGUCUGUAGUACCAUAUAGAUAGAAAAUAGCUAUCAUUUCUAAUGAAAUGAUAAGAUUUCUUGAUCUUCAAUAAUGAUGUGUACAUAAAUAGUACUAAACUCGAUGCUGCCUUAUGAUAAUCUCAUGGUGAUGUUGAACUCAUUGCUUCUAUCACAUGUGAAUGUUUCUUCUUACUUUUAUUUUGUUAUAUCCUGUUUGAGUAAGUAUGUUAAACCUGAAUUAGUACUAACUUGAGCAUUACCUGCAUAACCACAAUGAUGGGACCGGCACCCUCGCGCCAAGGCGCGUUACCGAUCUAGUAGCUGUAUGAAACCCGGACACAUGUAAGGCUGCAGUACCACACGGAAGGCCCGCUGGAAAAAUUAGAGUGACCAUCAAUUAAGGAUGACACAAGCGGUCUGGAUGCCAAACGAAAAUCUUAUAUCUCUGUCUGGCCACACGUGGUGCCGCCGUAGCGGCAGCGGUGGAACUAAGAGUCACCGGAUUCGGCCAGGAGUGGCUGGUCCCCGUCUCUAGCCAUGGUUGGCGUCUUGCCAUGUUCAAGCCUCCACGAAUGCGAGUGACACUGCGACGUCGUUGAUCUUUUUCUGCCUGUCUGGAUCGAGAGGAGGGCGGCGUGGAGGCUAUUAGCUUUGGACUAAUAAUGGUGGUUUGGCCCUGAUGCUCUUCUUCCGCCAAGUCGUCUUUCUGCCGGAUGUCGACAACUUGGAUCUAGCCGUUGAUGAGUUCCGGUUUUUCCGAGCGGAGAUCUAUAUGGAUUGGUGUAUGUCGCCCUUGGAUAUCUUGAUCGGAAAGGCUCCGGUCAUGUGUACUAAUAUUAUCAGCCAACAUGGC